AGACUGUAAAUGCACUACAGAAAUAAAGAAAGUGUGUAUGAGAGCUGGCAGAGCAAAGGGGGCAAGCAGAGCCAAGCACCGUGAACAAGGCUCAGGGUCAUAGGGCACACAUGAUAGUGUAAUGCAGGAGGAGUGCGAGCUUUGUCACUGGGCAUUCAGGUCUUCCCUGGCAGGAGACUGCUUACGUGCCACACAGGACCCUGCCACCGUCAAGUCCACUCUCCUGCCUGUGCAGAGGUGGAAGCUGUUCCUAGGCUGAUUUGCAGCAUUAGAGGGCAGGCAGCCACAGCUGAAGGGACCAAAGACAU
rnacentral:lncRNA from 1 species